rnacentral:rRNA from 1 species
UGCCCUGCACUUUGGGAUAAGCCCGGUAAACUGGGUCUAAUACCGAAUAUGACCAUGCGCCUCCUGGUGUGUGGUGGAAAGCUUUUGCGGUGUGGGAUGGGCCCGCGGCCUAUCAGCUUGUUGGUGGGGUAAUGGCCUACCAAGGCGACGACGGGUAGCCGGCCUGAGAGGNNNNNNNNNCNCNNUGGGACUGAGAUACGGCCCAGACUCCUACGGGAGGCANCAGUGGGGAAUAUUGCACAAUGGGCGCAAGCCUGAUGCAGCGACGCCGCGUGAGGGAUGACGGCCUUCGGGUUGUAAACCUCUUUCAGCACAGACGAAGCGCAAGUGACGGUAUGUGCAGAAGAAGGACCGGCCAACUACGUGCCAGCAGCCGCGGUAAUACGUAGGGUCCGAGCGUUGUCCGGAAUUACUGGGCGUAAAGAGCUCGUAGGUGGUUUGUCGCGUUGUUCGUGAAAACUCACAGCUUAACUGUGGGCGUGCAGGCGAUACGGGCAGACUUGAGUACUGCAGGGGAGACUGGAAUUCCUGGUGUAGCGGUGGAAUGCGCAGAUAUCAGGAGGAACACCGGUGGCGAAGGCGGGUCUCUGGGCAGUAACUGACGCUGAGGAGCGAAAGCGUGGGGAGCGAACAGGAUUAGAUACCCUGGUAGUCCACGCCGUAAACGGUGAGUACUAGGUGUGGGUUUCCUUCCUUGGGAUCCGUGCCGUAGCUAACGCAUUAAGUACCCCG